rnacentral:rRNA from 1 species
CCGGCGACCGGCGCACGGGUGAGUAACACGUAUGCAACCUGCCCCUGUCAGGGGGACAACCCGCCGAAAGGCGGGCUAAACCCGCGUACAUGCCACCGGGGCAUCCCGGAGGCAGGAAAGGCUUCGGCCGGACAGGGAUGGGCAUGCGGCGCAUUAGGCAGUAGGCGGGGUAACGGCCCACCGAGGCGACGAUGCGUAGGGGUUCUGAGAGGAAGGUCCCCCACACUGGUACUGAGACACGGACCAGACUCCUACGGGAGGCAGCAG